UGGGGAAUAUUGGACAAUGGGCGCAAGCCUGAUCCAGCAAUGCCGCGUGAAUGAUGAAGGCCUUAGGGUUGUAAAGUUCUUUCGGCGGGGACGAAAAUGACGGUACCCGCAUAAGAAGCUCCGGCUAACUCCGUGCCAGCAGCCGCGGUGAUACGGGGGGAGCUAGCGUUUUUCGGAAUUACUGGGCGUAAAGGGCGCGUAGGCGGCUGAUAAAGUUGAAAGUGAAAUCCCCGAGCUUAACUUGGGAACUGCUUUCAAAACUCAUCAGCUAGAGUGUGAUAGAGGACAGUAGAAUUCCUAGUGUAGAGGUGAAAUUCUUAGAUAUUAGGAAGAAUACCAGAGGCGAAGGCGGCUGUCUGGGUCACAACUGACGCUGAGGCGCGAAAGCGUGGGUAGCAAACAGG
rnacentral:rRNA from 1 species